rnacentral:rRNA from 1 species
GACGAACCGUGCAAACGUUAUUCGGAAUCACUGGGCUUAAAGGGCGCGUAGGCGGGCUGCCAAGUCUGAGGUGAAAGCCCACGGCUCAACCGUGGAAGUGCCCCGGAUACUGGUAGUCUCGAGGGAGGUAGGGGCGUGCGGAACUUCCGGUGGAGCGGUGAAAUGCGUAGAGAUCGGAAGGAACGCCGGUGGCGAAAGCGGCACGCUGGACCUCUUCUGACGCUGAGGCGCGAAAGCCAGGGGAGCAAACGGG